CAUCUAAAUGAAAGGUUCUCAAUGGAAGAAGAAAUUUGUGGUGCCAUGAUCAUGUCCUUCUAUAUUUCUCAAUUGUGCUUUCUGUUUUCUAUCGUGUAUAUUAUUGAAAAUACAAGACAGUGAGUGAAUAAUUUCCAAUCGAAUUGUGC